AUGGAUCUGCUCAAUGUGGUGCCGGCGGACGCCAUGGCCUUCCCCCUCUACUCCCUCCCCGCGGCGGCCAACACCGUCGCCUCGCUCUUCGCCUGGCUCGUCGCGGCCCUCGCCGCCGCCGUCGGCCUCUGGCGCAUCCGCGCGGUCGGCUCCUCCAACAAACUACCCGACGCCGGCGCCCGCAGCAGCACCCUCGUGGACGACAAGCAGCAGAUGCAGGCUCUUUCGUCGCCUGCCGCUGACGAGCCACGACCCGCACGCACCGUGCCGGUGGAGCCGGCUUCCCCUAUUAGCGAGCCGAGCUCGCCGUCCAAGGUCCGGUUCACGGCGUACUACGGCGGGGCCGGAGCUGACGCCGGCAACGAUGGAGUAGUGGAUGGCGUCAGGAAAUGCGCGGACAGGGACGAGGACGAGGACGGCGUGCCCGUCGUCGACGACCAGAGCGAGACGCUGCCGAGACGGACGGCGUCGAUGAGGAUCAGGUCGGUGGCAUCGACGGCGGUGCCCUGCUGGGAGGAGAGGGAGAUGGCGGUGAGGAGGCGGGGAGAUUUGGGCUGGUACCGCCACCUUGACAUGGCAGUGCUCGACGGCACCGUCGUAAGGCUGUGGGACAGCGAGGUCACCGCGGCGGUGGCGUCGCCGAGGGCGCGGCGGGGGAGGGCAGGAUUGGAACUGCACCUGUCACUAUAG
rnacentral:rRNA from 1 species